AGAAUCAACGCUGGCGGCGUGCCUCAGACAUGCAAGUCGAACGCGAAAGCCCCCUUCGGGGGCAAGUAGAGUGGCGCACGGGUGAGUAACACGUAGGUAAUCUACCUUUGGAUGGGGAACCCUAACAACCGGAAACGGUUGCUAAUACCGCAUAAUGCAGCGGCACCUAAUGGUGACAGUUGUUAAAGCGGGGAUCGAAAGACCUUCGCGUCUGAAGAGGAGCCUGCGCGGAUUAGCUAGUUGGUAGGUAACGCCUACAGGCUACGAUCCGUA
rnacentral:rRNA from 1 species